rnacentral:lncRNA from 1 species
AUUUGUUCCCUCGUCUAUUAAUUCGUUGUUAAGUCACGUGAUAGCUAUGCAUAGCCUUUGUUGGCAAUACACAUAGAUAACACAAGUAGAUAAACAAACUCAUAAAAAACAUAAUCAUUAGUAAUAUUUUAGUAAUUCAAUAUACUAAGCAUAAAUAAAACUAUACAUAAACAUGGUAAAAUAUAACUAAAAAGAAAGAUGCCGCC